rnacentral:rRNA from 1 species
GACAGAGGGUGCAAACGUUGUUCGGAAUUACUGGGCGUAAAGCGUGCGUAGUCGGUUAUUUAAGUCGGGUGUGAAAGCCCCGGGCUCAACCUGGGAAUUGCAUUCGAUACUGGAUAGCUAGAGUUCGGCAGAGGGAAGCGGAAUUUCCGGUGUAGCGGUGAAAUGCGUAGAUAUCGGAAGGAACAUCAGUGGCGAAAGCGGCUUCCUGGACCAGAACUGACGAUCAGGCACGAAAGCGUGGGGAGCAAACAGG